rnacentral:rRNA from 1 species
AUUGAACGCUGGCGGCAGGCCUAACACAUGCAAGUCGAACGAGUGGCGGACGGGUGAGUAAUGUCUGGGAAACUGCCUGAUGGAGGGGGAUAACUACUGGAAACGGUAGCUAAUACCGCAUACCAUCAGAUGUGCCCAGAUGGGCUUAGCUUGUUGGUGGGUUAACGGCUCACCAAGGCGACGACCCCUAGCUGGUCUGAGAGGAUGACCAGCGAAACUGGAACUGAGAAACGGUCCAGACUCCUACGGAAGGCAGCAGUGGGGAAUAUUGCACAAUGGGGUCAAGCCUGAUGUGGCCGUGCCGCGUGUAUGGAGAAGGCCUUCGGGUUGUAAAGUACUUUAAGCGGGGAGGCGUUACCCGCAGAAGAAGCACCGGCUAACGCCGUGCCAGCAGCCGCGGUAAUUC